UACAGAGGGUGCGAGCGUUACUCGGAAUUACUGGGCGUAAAGCGUGCGCAGGCGGUGAUGUAAGCCAGAUGUGAAAUCCCCGGGCUCAACCUGGGAACUGCAUUUGUGACUGCAUCGCUGGAGUGCGGCAGAGGGGGAUGGAAUUCCGCGUGUAGCAGUGAAAUGCGUAGAUAUGCGGAGGAACACCGAUGGCGAAGGCAAUCCCCUGGGCCUGCACUGACGCUCAUGCACGAAAGCGUGGGGAGCAAACAGG
rnacentral:rRNA from 1 species